rnacentral:rRNA from 1 species
UACGUAGGGUCCGAGCGUUGUCCGGAAUUACUGGGCGUAAAGAGCUCGUAGGUGGUUUGUCGCGUUGUUCGUGAAAACUCACAGCUUAACUGUGGGCGUGCGGGCGAUACGGGCAGACUUGAGUACUGCAGGGGAGACUGGAAUUCCUGGUGUAGCGGUGGAAUGCGCAGAUAUCAGGAGGAACACCGGUGGCGAAGGCGGGGUCUCUGGGCAGUAACUGACGCUGGAGGAGCGAAAAGCGUGGGGAGCGAACAGG